CAAUAGCGUAUAUUAAAGUUGUUGCAGUUAAAAAGCUCGUAGUUGGAUUUCUGAAUGGAUGCCGAUGCCCGCCUGUUGGCGUGUGCAAAGGUGCCCGUUCAUCCUUCUGUUAAGGUUUCUUAGUAUUCAUUUACUGGUUUCCGGCUCAGAUAUUUUACCUUGAAUAAAUUAGAGUGUUUCAGGCAAGCUUGGUCUUGAAUACAUUAGCAUGGAAUAAUAGAAUAGGACUCUAGAUCCUUUGUUGGUUUCUGGAUUUGGAGUAAUGAUUAAUAGGGAUAGUUGGGGGCAUUAGUAUUUAAUUGUCAGAGGUGAAAUUCUUGGAUUUAUUAAAGACUAACUUAUGCGAAAGCAUUUGCCAAGGAUGUUUACAUUAA
rnacentral:rRNA from 1 species